rnacentral:rRNA from 1 species
CACGUAGGGAGCAAGCGUUGUCCGGAUUUAUUGGGCGUAAAGAGCUCGUAGGCGGCUCAGUAAGUCAGGUGUGAAACCUCCAGGCUCAACCUGGAGACGCCACCUGAUACUGCUGUGGCUAGAGUCCGGUAGGGGAGCGUGGAAUUCCUGGUGUAGCGGUGAAAUGCGCAGAUAUCAGGAGGAACACCAGCGGCGAAGGCGGCGCUCUGGGCCGGAACUGACGCUGAGGAGCGAAAGCCAAGGUAGCAAACAGG